GAUCCAUGUCUCCAGUUGUCAUCACACGGCACCGUCAUCGUCUUCCUUCUUCUCCUGUGUCGGCCAAAACCACAUUAAGCUACUGCUUAUAGAGAAGCUAAGAAUACAGUACAAAACUAUUCUGUGGAAUUGAAAGCAUCAUCAUUUAUGGCCAUGAACCAAGCGGCUGUGGUGAAGGUGGUUCUGGGGUUCAUGGCUCUGUGCUUGGCUGGCUACAUAUUGGGUCCUCCUCUCUACUGGCAUUUCAAGGAGGGCUUAGACGCCGUUAGUCACUCUUCCUCCGCUUGCUCUCCUUGCGUUUGUGAUUGCUCUUCUCAGCCUCUUCUCUCCAUCCCUCA
rnacentral:misc_RNA from 1 species